UACAGAGGUCCCAAGCGUUGUUCGGAUUCACUGGGCGUAAAGGGUGCGCAGGUGGGUUUGCAAGUUCGAUGUGAAAGCCCCGGGCUUAACCCGGGAAUGGCAUUGGAUACUGCAGAUCUGGAGGAUCGGAGGGGGGACUGGAAUUCUUGGUGUAGCAGUGAAAUGCGUAGAUAUCAAGAGGAACACCAGUGGCGAAGGCGAGUCCCCUGGACGAUACCUGACACUGAGGCACGAAAGCUAGGGGAGCAAACAGG
rnacentral:rRNA from 1 species